UCCUAAUACAGGGAGGUAGUGACAAGAAAUAACAAUACAGGGCCUUUCGGCUUUGUAAUUGGAAUGAGUCGAGUAUAAACCCCUUUACAAGUAUCAAUUGGAGGGCAAGUCUGGUGCCAGCAGCCGCGGUAAUUCCAGCUCCAAUAGCGUAUAUUAAAGUUGUUGCAGUUAAAAAGCUCGUAGUUGGAUUUCUGCUAAUACUCUAUGUAAAUGCUUUUGCCUUUACAU
rnacentral:rRNA from 1 species